GAUGAACGCUGGCGGCGUGCCUAAUACAUGCGAGUCGAGCGAACGGACGAGAAGCUUGCUUCUCUGAUGUUAGCGGCGGACGGGUGAGUAACACGUGGAUAACCUACCUAUAAGACUGGGAUAACUUCGGGAAACCGGAGCUAAUACCGGAUAAUAUUUUGAACCGCAUGGUUCAAAAGUGAAAGACGGUCUUGCUGUCACUUAUAGAUGGAUCUGCGCUGCACUAGCUAGUUGGUAAGGUAACGGCUUACCAAGGCAACGAUGCAUAGCCGACCUGAGAGGGUGAUCGGCCACACUGGAACUGAGACACGGUCCAGACUCCUACGGGAGGCAGCAGUAGGGAAUCUUCCGCAAUGGGCGAAAGCCUGACGGAGCAACGCCGCGUGAGUGAUGAAGGUCUUCGGAUCGUAAAACUCUGUUAUUAGGGAAGAACAUAUGUGUAAGUAACUGUGCACAUCUUGACGGUACCUAAUCAGAAAGCCACGGCUAACUACGUG
rnacentral:rRNA from 1 species